AUGAACGCUGGCGGCGUGCCUAAUACCUGCAAGUCGCGCGAACGGACGAGAGGCUUGCUUCUCUGAUGUUAGCGGCGGACGGGAGAGUAACACGUGGAUAACCUACCUAUAAGACUGGGAUAACUUCGGGAAACCGUAGCUAAUACCGGAUAAUAUUUUGAACCGCAUGGUUCAAAAGUGAAAGACGGUCUUGCUGUCACUUAUAGAUGGAUCCGCGCUGCAUUAGCUAGUUGGUAAGGUAACGGCUUACCAAGGCAACGAUGCAUAGCCGACCUGAGAGGGUGAUCGGCCACACUGGAACUGAGACACGGUCCAGACUCCUACGGGAGGCAGCAGUAGGGAAUCUUCCGCAAUGGGCGAAAGCCUGACGGAGCAACGCCGCGUGAGUGAUGAAGGUCUUCGGAUCGUAAAGCUCUUUUAUUAGGGAAGAACAUAUGUGUAAGUAACUGUGCACAUCUUGACGGUACCUAAUCAGAAAGCCACGGCUAACUACGUG
rnacentral:rRNA from 1 species